AGCACCGGCAAACUCUGUGCCAGCAGCCGCGGUAAUACAGAGGGUGCAAGCGUUAAUCGGACUGACUGGGCGUAAAGGGUCUGUAGGUGGUUGUCUAGGUGAGAUGUGAAAGACCAGGGCUCAACCUUGGGGUGUCAUCUCAAACGGGACAACUGGAGCACAAGAGAGGGUAGUGGAAUUUCCGGUGUAGCAGUGAAAUGCGUAGAGAUCGGAAGGAACACCAGUGGCGAAGGCGACUACCUGGCUUGUAGCUGACACUGAGGGACGAAAGCGUGGGGAGCGAACAGGAUUAGAUACCCUGGUAGUCCACGCCGUAAACGAUGAGUACUAGCUGUUGGCAGGCGACGACCUGAGAGUAGCGAAGUUAACGCGAUAAGUUACUCCGCCUGGGGAUUUACGGCCGCAAGGCUAAAACUCAAAUGGAAUUGACG
rnacentral:rRNA from 1 species